UGUUGAAGACGCAAGUAGCAUCAUGUUUGCUCUUCCACUCUUUCUCUGUAUGCUCGCCGUAGCAAGUGCGGAUUAUGUGAACGAAACUGACUACGCAGAAAACUCAACACACUACCCCGAGCAGAUACUUGCUAAUAUGCAAUGUGUGAACGAGACGAUUUACAUUCUGCAAAGAAA